GCCCCGGGCCCGACGCUCGUCGCCCGCACUAGGUCACCAGGUCGGGGCCGUCGUCGGGGCUGCGAGGCCCCGGGCCCCGGGCCCGACGCUCGUCGCCCGCACGAGGGGACCCGGUCGUGGCCAUCAUCGGGGCUGCGAGGCCCCGGGCCCCGGGCCCGACGCUCGUCGCCCGCACGAGGGGACCCGGUCGUGGCCGUCAUCGGGGCUGCAAGGCCCCGGGCCCCGGGCCCGACGCUCGUCGCCCGCACUAGGCCACCAGGUCGGGGCCGUCGACGGGGCUGGCUCCGGGCCCGACACUCGUCGCCCGCAUGAGGGGACCGGAUCGGGGCCGUUGACGGGGCUGCGAGGCCCGGGGCUCCCGGCCCGACACUCGUCGCCCGCACGAGGGGACCCGGUCGUGGCCGCUGGUGGGACUGUGAGCGUGUGUUUGCUUUUCUAAGUCCUUGGGUCGACCAGGUGGCCACAGGAGCACGCCCUGUCGUCGAUGGGUAUGUUUUUGGGGACCUGUGACCCGGGCCCCCAUCUGAGGGGGUGGCUGUGUCGCAUAGGUUGUCCCCGUUGUCCCCUGGAAGGGCAUUUGUACGCCUGCAGUUGUCAUUUUGGAUCUGCAGGUAGGUGCUGACACGCUGUCUCCUGGCGACCGUCGCCAGGAGAGCUGGGCCCCUGGGUUCGCGUCUGGGGGGCAGGGGGAGAGCGCGAUGGGCUGCCGGCGGCCUGGCGUCGGACUGCGUCUCCCCUGCCCAUCCGGCGGCCGAGCUGCCUGCCUGGGUUCGUGCGGCAGCUUCGGUGUGCGAUCCCGGUUGAGCCCUGCGACGGUGCUGCCAUCUCCGGCUUACGAUUUGCCCCGAGAGCGGCGGGGGUGAGGCCGGGCGCUGGGUCCUAUACCCGUGUCCGCUCUCUGCCGCAGGCGGCCCGUUGUGUAGCGGUGGCUGACGAGACCCCUUCCUGAGACUGAGUCGGUAGUAGCGGCUUCAUGCCGCGUGUGCGUGUCAGGCGUUCCUCCGCUGGGGUUGGCCACCGCCGCUGAGGAGGCAAGGGGCCGGUGAGGCUGCGACGGACCCCCUCUCUGGCGGCUGUCCUCGCCGGGCGUGACCCCCUGUGCCUCGCGUGAUGUCACAAUUCCAGACCGCGACUGACCGAUGUGGUGAUGUGGCGCUCUCCCGGGCCGGGCCUAAGCCGCUUACAGACGAGGGACGGCCGUUCAUGGCGAAUGCUGCCGAGCUUCUCGUUCUGUCUUGCGGGCUCCUGGUUCCUCUUUCCCCUGCCUCGGUGCGGUGGGAGAGGCCAGGGGUGCGGAACCCGGCUCGAUCUCCGCUCCCUCUGCCUCGUGCCGCCUGGAGGUGCGCUGGUGUGGGGGUCCGGGCGGGGGUCCUCGGACGUGGCGGACACCCUUCGCCCUCUGCCGUGCCGGCGUGUCACGGCGUGGGCGGGCCCCCUCCCGCGGUGGUGUGGGGCUCGUCCGGCAGAGUCCGGCUCUGCUCGGCUCUGUGCGGUGCUCCUGGAGCGGUCCGGGUCGUUUGCCUUUCAGGCGCCUGGAACCGAGUGGUGGUGUCGCUCCCUUGCCACCCCAGCGUGCGCUCUCCCGGGUGUGCCGCUGCAGCCUCCUCGCUGGUGUGUGCUGCCUGGUGUGCGGGAGCCUCUGGGGGGUCGAGGUGGUGAGGAAAAGGAAGCGUUGGGCGCAGCACCGGCUGCUGCUGCCACGGCCCGUGGCCUCGCCCGGCCGGCCUCUGGUGCCCCCUGCGCGUCCGUGGGGGGGCAGGUGACUUCCUUACCUGUGCCGCAGACCCCUCCGCCCAUCCUCGGGCCCGUCCCCCGGGUUGGGUUGAUGCUCCCUUGGUGUUGGGGCCCUUUGUGCCCGGUGAGAGGCGCACGUGGGGGCUGGCGGGGUGCGGCUCGCCUUCGGUGAGAAAAGCCUUCUCUAGCGAUCCGAGAGGGACGUGCCUACGUGAUGGGGUGCCGUAUCCCCCGCUUGCCGCGCCGUUCCUUCCUCUUCCUGGUGCGUGUCGGUAGCCACGCUGCUGACGACGCGGAUGGCUUGGGUUGUUGUGCGUUAGGUGGCGAUGGUCGCUCGUUCUUCCCGGCCCCUUCCGCUGGGGGCCGGACGCUGCCUCUCGCGCCUCUACCUUGCCGUGGCCCGCGCCUCCCCCCCGUGUCGGGGGAGGGUCCCGCUGGGCCAGGGCCGGGCGUCCCGUUGCCUUACGGGCCCGACGGAGGGGCCCUGCGGUCGCUCGCAUGCCUCUGGUGUUGUCUGGCCUUCCGCUUACCACCCGGGGCCCCUGGGGUUGCGUGUGGCUUGUCCCGCGCUGCCCCUGUGGCCCUGGCGUGGGGUGGCUCUCUGCUCGCUUCCCGCCCUGGGCUGUCCGCGGCCCGCUGGCCGGUCGCCGCCGGCGAGGGUGGCGGCGGCGGGGCCACGGGUUUGGGCCCGUUGGGUCUCCCCUCGGCCGCAUCGGCUUUGGGAGCGUUCCCGCGGGGUGGCGGCCCCCGGGGCCGGGGGCUCGGAUGUUGGUGGAUGGAGACCCCAGGAAGCCGGUGGCAGUAGGUGCCCGGUGUCGAGAGCGUUGGCGGUGUCGCAUUGUGGGCCCCGGUGGGGGGCCUCAGGUGCGCGUCGGGGAACGCGUGGGGUCGCUGGAGGCGGGCUGCCGGCGUCCCAGGCGUGCCACGGGACCGCGCGGGCGUGUGGCGGUGGCAUCCCGUGUCCGUUUUCCGGGAGGACCCGGCUUUUGUUGGCCCGAGGUGUUCCCCGCGGCUCCCCGUCGCGCCUCUGGCGCCUCUCCCCCCGCGGUCUGAUGCCAUGCCCCCGCAGGUGGCCCCCUCGCGGCCCGCUGCGGCCUCGUGUCGCUUGCGUGCGCCGGCGAGCCCUCUUUGGGGUCGGGGGUCAGAUGGCUGCGACGGUGUGGCCUGUGGUGCUGCGGGGCCUGGCGUUCACCCCCAUCGUCGGAGGCGGUGUGUGCGUGUGAGGGGUGGCCGAGUCGCGCGGUGGCGUGUCCCCGGCUGUGUGGCUGUGCCUGGCGCCUCCCCUCCCCCCAUGCGGGACCGCCCUUGCGCCUGGAGGGUGCUGGCGGUGAGAUCCCGCGUGGUGCGGGGGGCUGGUGUGCCGCCUGGCCGCCAUCCGGUUCGACGGUCCCGUCCGUCCGUGUCGAGGAGGCCCUCCUCUCCCGUGCCCCCGCUCCGCGCUUGCGGGGGUCCGCCGGCCCUCGGCUCCCAGUUGUCACCGUUUUGUCAGGCCUCGCUCGCUGGCCGGGCGGCUCCUGCUGCCGCGCCUGCUGUGUGCGUCUCCAAUCUCGCUCUUCAUCCGUGUCCCGGUCCCGGGUCUCCGUGACCCUGUGGUGCUUCGCUCCCCGGGUCCCGCUGCGGCCGUCGGGGAAGGCGCUCGGGCUCCUUCCCGUGUGUCGCGCCGCCCUUGCCCCGUCAGGCGGCGGUGGCCGGUGGCGUGGCUGCCGGCGGGUCGGCUUGUCGGAGCGGCGCGUGUGCGCGGGGGUUGAGGUCGGUGAGGUCGGGUCGCUGGGGGGCGGCUGGUGUGUCCCGCUGCCUGCCCCUCCCUCCCUCCUCCCUCUCCUCGCCUCCCCUCCUCCUCUUCCUUCCUGGUGGCAGUGUCGGUGGUCUUCCCGGACCCGGCGUUGUGGUGCCCGCGUGUGGGCUCUUCCUGAGGCCGCGGUCGGCCGGUUCCUCGGCCCCGUCUUGCGUCGCGAAGUUGUAUGGGCGGCUCGGCAUCGGCUGUGCACCCCCGUUGUGUGUGUGUGGGGAGCGUCGUGGGCCCGGGCUCUGGCCCCGGCCCCGUCGCCCCCUCUCCUCCUCCGCGGGUGCUUGCCUGUUGCCUGCCGGCCCCGGAUGGAGAGGGUCGUCUCGGGCGCCGCUGUCGCGUGCCCCCCUGCUCCAUCUCCCCCGCGCCUGGCUGCCGCUGUCCCACCCCGGCGGGGAGUGGUG